GGAAGGAUUAUGUAGCGUGUGUCAACAAAAUAAUCAUGUAAGGUUAUGCAGAGAAGGUUCCUCAAGACACCCCUGAAGACAGAUCCCAGUAAUGCACAUGGACCAUCCCCAUCAUGGCAUGUACCAUCCUGAAAAACCCAAGGAGAUCAUUGUUCCAAGCUGCAGGGCAGCUACUACUCCAAGAGCCUUGUGGAAUAUUGAAAGGCUGUAUGCCCUUUUGGAGCUAUCUCUUCCCCAAGCUGCUCCAACUACGCCCAGCAAAGGACAGCAAAUGAUAACGGAAAAUAUGUGGGAGUGCUGUUGCAAGUACAAUGCGCUCCACAGAUGACUACCUCUGUUCUGUCAGUGCAGAAACCAUAGCCAAGGAACAAAUCAAAGGAAUUCCUCUGCCGUCAAGCAUGCACUAAAGGUGGAUUUAAUCUUACAACGUUCAUCUGCAAGCAACAGAAUGCCCUUCAGUCCAUUGCUGAAGAACAACAGUUCAAAGAUGUUAAAAGGUCGGAUCUAAACUACAGUGAGCCACCCCAUCAGGGCUGUUAUUAAGUUUUAAUUCACCUGUAGCCUUGAUUCUCACACCCGUAGCAAACUUGUUACUUUAUGGGUGAAUUGUAUCAACCACAGGCCAGUUGACCCAUAACAUCAACAGUCCAUCAAACAUACUCAGCCAUAACAGGUGUUAUGUGUUAUGACCCUUAUUGACAGCCCUGCCGUAUUGACCAUGUUCUUGGUGUAAAGUGGUGUGUCAAAUCCCACACCUUCAGAUUUUACAUCACCAUUAAGGAUAAACUGCUUUCAAGAAGAGGAAUUAUUCCUCUUCUUGAAAGCAGUAAAGUAAAGUUACUGAUGACCACUCCAAUAAAACACAAAGACUCACCUGAUAUGAUAUCAGGUGGGUCUUUGUGUUUUAUUGGAGUGGUCAUCAGUAACUUUACUUUACCUGUGCUAGGAAUAGUGGCACACAAGACAGGCAGGAAAUUAAAACAAAUAGAGAAGUUAUGUUUGACAGCUCACUGCAUUGUGUUUUUGAACAUGGCAUGUUACUCUCACAGUGUCUCCCUUCACCCAGAUAUACAAAUGGGUACUGGGUGAAUUUCAUACUGGGGCUAACCCUGUAAUGAUCAGGCAUUCCAUUUAAGGGGGCAGGGGGAGUAGAAAAAGAUGUCUUAUCAAUUGAUGUUACAGAAACUGGGGUAAGGUUUGGCAGUUUGGAUCACUGAUGGCCUGAUGAAGACUUUACCUUACCUUCUUCGUUGAAACUCCCCCAAGUAAGGUCCAAACUUCUAAUGACUUAUUUUUAAAUUGUGUAGUUUGUAAAACUUGAGAGAUCAAGGAAUUCCUUAAAGGUAAAAACAUUUUCAGUUUCUCAUUAGGUACAGAACAGAGAUGCAAAGGAAAAGAGCUAUGUGCUGAGACUCAAGAGGAGAAAGAAUCAAAUUGAGACCUUGGAUCCCAUAGCAGGACACGGAAAAAAAACAAAUACUAUGCUGAGACUCAAGAGGGAAAAGAAUCAAAUUGAGACACUAGAUUCCUUAUUAGGCUGCUAUCUCAAGUGUACAUGCAGCGACAUUAACAAGGAGAAAGAAGCAAAGGAAAGCAAAGAACUUCGUUUAGAGGUUUCUUCAGUGGAUCACGUUUUAAAAGUACACUGUAAGGUAGAUUUACAAGACAAAGUUUAUCUCGACUAAGUUUCUUUCGAAAGAUUGUUAGGGUGGAGCUCGUAUCAGUGAUUUCUCAACACAAACACAAAACUCAAGAGUCAAAAGAAGACAUUGGAAAUACUGGCAAAUUGGCUCGUUUCUUGCUAGUUUUCGAAGAAGCCGUGAAUUGUAUUUUAAGUUUGUAGCUUUAAAACUAAGGUAGAACUUUGGCAUUACCUGAAUUUGUUUUUGCAACCCGAAUUUCAGACUGGAAGUCUCGUUAUUAAACCCGUUCAAAGUACUUUCUAAUUGUCUCGUGUCUAUUUCACUGGCCUCUUCCAGGCGUUCAGUU